rnacentral:rRNA from 1 species
UACGAAGGGUGCAAACGUUGCUCGGAAUUAUUGGGCGUAAAGCGCGCGUAGGCGGUUACUCAAGUCGGAUGUGAAAGCCCUCGGCUUAACUGAGGAAGUGCACCCGAAACUGAGUAGCUAGAGUACCAAAGAGGGUCGCGGAAUUCCCGGUGUAGAGGUGAAAUUCGUAGAUAUCGGGAGGAACACCGGUGGCGAAGGCGGCGACCUGGGUGGAUACUGACGCUGAGGCGCGAAAGCGUGGGGAGCAAACAGG